rnacentral:rRNA from 1 species
GGAGUUAGCCGGUGCUUCUUCUGUGAGUGAUGUCCUUCCUGCCGGUUAUUGACCCGCAGGCCUUCUUCCUCACUGAAAGUGCUUUACAACCCGAAGGCCUUCUUCACACACGCGGCAUGGCUGGAUCAGGGUUGCCCCCAUUGUCCAAUAUUCCCCACUGCUGCCUCCCGUAGGAGUCUGGGCCGUGUCUCAGUCCCAGUGUGGCUGAUCAUCCUCUCAGACCAGCUACGGAUCGUCGCCUUGGUGAGCCGUUACCUCACCAACCAGCUAAUCCGACAUAGGCUCAUCCGAUAGCGCGAGGCCCGAAGGUCCCCCGCUUUCCCCCGUAGGGCGUAUGCGGUAUUAGCCUGGGUUUCCCCCAGGUUAUCCCCCACUACCGGGCAGAUUCCUAUGCAUUACUCACCCGUCCGCCGCUCGCCACCAGGGAGCAAGCUCCCCGUGCUGCCGCUCGACUUGCAUGUGUUAGGCCUGCCGCCAGCGUUCAAUCUGAGCAGANACGAACCUCGA